UAAGCACCUUAAUACAUGUUUGGCUUUAGGAAGAAUUGACAAAAUCACACUCAACAUCAACUGUUUUGCAAAAGUAAAAUAACCUACAAAAUGACAUAGAAUUAUCACCGUAAAAUUGAACAUAUAUUUAGUAUGGCUUGUUCCCAUCAAUAUGGGGGACUUGUUAAUUUCCAACAAUGUAUCGAGUCAUUGACCACCAUGUUGCACCCUAUCAACCAUGUACCCACCAAAUAUUGUCAUCAGCUACAUAUAAUUCAUUCGGUAAAAAAAAAAAACACAUAUAAAUCAUGUUGGUAUCGAAAGUUUAUAUGAAUCUUGGUAACACUUCAAACUCAAAGAACAAAACUACUUUCAUAAAAUUUUAAGGGUCUUUCACAUAAAAUUUAGAAAUUUUUAAUAAAAAAUAAAUUAAAUAUAAAAUUUUUAAGUGUCAAAAUUUUAAAAAUGUAUAUUUAAUUAAUUUCUUGUUAAAAAAUUUUAAAUUUUUAUAGUAGAUAUACUUAGAAAAACAAAAUAAACCUUUUUCCUAUUAACCAAUUAACUUGUGAUUGAAAUGAAGUUCAAUAUUCAUUUUUUGUAAAUAAAUAAAAGUGUACAAACUUAUAAAUUGUUGUAUGAAGACCAACGGACCAACCCAACCCAAAAAGUCUUAAUAAUUUUUUGCUUUAAUUUGUACAGCUCAACUUGUGUUAAAAUAUGAAUCAAUCGAUUGACCAUUGAUCUGGUUCAAAUUUAAAAACUGUAAUAAAAUUAGUUUCUUGAUGAGUAUGAGGGGCCAAACCCCUUAGAAAAAAUAACAAGACUUAAAGUCUAAAGGAAACACGAUAAUGCUUCUAUCUGCCAACAUGGCUAAAAAAGCAAAAUCAUAGGCACAUCCAUAAUCUCUAAAAAAACGAGAAUCAAAUUCUCGCUAGAGACAUAACACAAUAUACAGUUUGCAUCUUGACUUAUAUAACGACGAACUUGCUACUCAUUGGUUUACAAACAUCCCCGAGUUAAUUCCCACAAGAAGCACUUAAGCUUCUCAAGCCACUUCCAUUUCCAAGCAUGAUUAAAGUUAUUAAUCUAGUCCUCACGACUAGACCAUUUCAUAGCAUCAUAAGAUGGUCUAGUAGAUAAAUUCUCAACAUGUUCCCUAGCCCAAAUCAACAAAUUUUCUCACUACUCCAAAUUUAAGGCAAACAUAUAAUGCAAAUACGAUUCAAGAUAUUAUCUGGUAACAAAUUGUUCACACAUUGCAUUCCAAACCACUGUCAACACUAACAGAGUGUCGCAUGCUCUUGUCCGCUUUGGUAUAGGCACGUGAUUCAUGAAAGGUAGUCUCAUCUAUGAGUCGAAUCCCACAUAUGAAUCCUAGAGUCAACCCAAAAACUAGUAAACAUUCCAUUUCCAAUCCUCCACCCUCACAUUAUUAAUUUACACAUCCCAAAAAUCACAUAACACACGUCAAAAUUUCGAACUUAAAAUUCUGAAUCUCAAACAUAAUAGCAGAACCACAUUUAUAUUUGUUGCAAAUCACAUAGAUCCAUAAGGCAAUAGGUAUGUUACAAAGGUCCCCAUUAGACUUAACCAUACUAACUUUUUUCAUGUCUCUUUUUCUUAGUCCUAAACCCACCUUUCAAUUUGGGGAGCAAAGUUCAUCCUAGCUCAAAUGAUGAAUUCUUUAAGCAUUAUCAUAUUGACCCCACAAAAAGUUUAUGCACCUCUUGUCCAUUUUAUCACAAAUAAAUAUAAAAUGUUGCAUUGAAUGCAUAACCUAAUUAGAAAAUUUUUGAAUGACAGAGUCAACCGAAAUAAGUCUUUCUGUAAAAAAAAAAAGAUUUUUAAUCUUACGUCCAACCAAAAAUAUUUUUAGAUUAUUUUUUGGAAAUUAUUUUUAAUGACAUGAGCUAAUCAGGCUGAUAUUAUACCAAAAGAUAUAAAAUUAAAAACACAAUUUAUUUUAUUUUUAUUUUCAGUCAAUAAAUUGUUUUCCUUAGAUGAUAUGAUGAAAAAUAGGGGAAUAUCACAGAAAUCGUAAUAAAUAUUCCCAUCAAAAUAUUUAAAAUUUAUUAAAUUGAAAGUUUACCUGUAAAUAAAUACUAACUAAACAUACACAACGACCGGAAUGAUAACAUUGGCCCACCUCCAUCGCUAUGAGGGUUUCAUCUCUUUCCAUCAUAUGAGUGAUCCCAAUUCAGCCCCAAAAAAUAUUCCAGUUGUAUACUGUGAGAGUGAGAGCGAGUGGGUGUGAACUCAACUAGUAAUGUCUUCGGCUUUCCAAUUGCAUUUGCAUUCUCUUCUACCUCUUUGCAAAACCCUUCCCUUCUUUUAUUUUCUUUAACCACACACGCCUCCCCCAAAUCAAACCUCCCUUUACUUUUUUUAUUUCCUACAUUCAUUCAUAUACUCCAACUCUAACAUCGUUUAUUUAUUAACUAUUAUAAUUCUAUUAUACUGCAAGAUCUGAUUCUUUCAAACUAAAUUAGGGGCUUUUUAAGCCCCGCGAUUUACAUUACAUCUCAAACAUCCAAAUAGUUCCAUUAAGUAUUAACACUAAAAAAAAAUGAAAGAUUCAGAAAAAUUAAUUUGGGAAAAUACGAAGAAUCCUACAUCUGGCACCCCCAUUUCUAACGGAGGUGUAUUAGCAACAACACAAUCUCGCACCUCCCACAAGCUUCUCGUCUUACUCAUCCUCUUCGUUUCCAUUACCUACGUCGUUUACUCGCUCAAACUCGUCUCAACUUCACGCGCUUGUAAAGAUACACCAUUUACAUUCUCCACCGACACUCUCUCUCUUGCUUCAAAAUCAACUCUCUCACUCAUCAAUGCAACCACCGCAACAACAACCACCGCCGCCGCAGAGAAAACAAACCUCCGCCACGUGGUUUUCGGAAUCGCCGCGUCGGCGAAACUUUGGGAACAGAGAAAAAACUACAUUAAACUAUGGUACAACGCUACCGAAAUGCGUGGCGUAGUGUGGUUAGACAACAAAGUAAAAACAGAGAAAAACGAGAGUCUCCCACCGGUGAGAAUCUCCGGCGACACAUCGAAAUUCGCGUAUAAAAACAAACAAGGUCACCGGUCCGCGAUCCGAAUAUCGCGGAUCGUAUCGGAAACACUCCGUCUAGGGAUGAAAGAUGUACGGUGGUUCGUAAUGGGAGACGACGACACCGUUUUCGUAACAGAGAAUCUUAUAAGGAUUUUGAGAAAAUACGAUCAUAAUCAAUUUUAUUACAUCGGAAGUUUAUCGGAGAGUCACUUGCAGAACAUUUUCUUCUCUUACGGAAUGGCUU
rnacentral:lncRNA from 1 species